GAUGAAGAACGUAGCGAAAUGCGAUAAGUAAUGCGAAUUGCAGAAUUCAGUGAGUCAUCGAAUCUUUGAACGCACAUUGCGCCCUGUGGUAUUCCGCAGGGCAUGCCUGUUCGAGCGUCAUUUCAACCCUCAAGCCUCGCUUGGUGUUGGGCCCUGCCCGCCGCGGCCGGCCCUAAAGAUAGUGGCGGCGCCGCCUGGCCCUCAGCGUAGUACAGCUCUCGCUCCAGGGUCCGGCGGCAGCCUGCCAGAAUCCCCCAACUCUGUGGUUGACCUCGGAUCAGGUAGGGAUACCCGCUGAACUUAAGCAUAUCAAUAAGCGGAGGA
rnacentral:misc_RNA from 1 species